UUAGUAUUUGACACUUUUGAUCCCUUUUAGCCUUCACUUUGACUGCAGGGUCCAGAGUUCCGUGUUGAGCUUUUUAAUCAGCUAAAUGCUCCAACAUGAUCAACCAGCAAGAUGCUAACUGUCUAUCAGCUGUUUGGUGCUGAGCAGAGCUUAGAGAUGUCCGCUUCUCCCCCCAUAUGGUGAGUUGUCACUGGGGUGACACAGUGCAGCCCUCCCCUGUGUGGGACCUCCAGACAGCCUUCAUACGGACCGAGUAAACAACAACUGGACAUGGGAUGAUGCUUGGAAUAUCAUCAUGUUUUGGGGGCAGGAUUUUCCCUCCAAAAUCUGUGAUGAAAGAUUACACAUAUAUCAUCAGUAAAAUCAGUUUUCAUGUGUCAUA